ACACAUAUGUAACACAUGUUUGUAACGUGUGUUACACUGGAGGGUAACACAUCUAAAACAAUUGUUGUGGGGAGCACAACUGUCCAGUCUAGAAAACAAAAACAAAAGCUAUACGACGACGACAAACAAAUACGAAAGGUUGUGCUAAAAUAUGUUACAUGUUUGUUUAGUGCUUGCAGCGAGGGAGUUGGUUCUACCGGAUAGUAGUUGUUUGAAGUAUAAAAACUCAAAAUUUGGGGAGUCUUCAAGUUCAGGGCAUAAUUGGGUAGAAGCAGUUGCAGCCAAACGAGAAGGGAUCUUGGCAGGAAGAAAGAGAACCACAAUAUCGGAUACGACAAAAGAUGGCCAUAAAGCGAAAGAAGGUAGAUGGAGAAACCGAUGAAGAAUGGGAACAAGAAGUCGAUGAAGGGCAGGUGGUGGGUACCUUUGACGUUGUACAGAAGUUACCCUCUAGUGUAACACAUGUUACAAACUUGUGUUACAUAAGUUCAACCUCUUUGUUACCAAAAAUCAGGGCUGCACAUAUGUAAGACAUGUUUGUAACUUAUGUUACACUAGAGGGUAACACAUGUAUGAUCAUUUUUGGAUCAUUUGUAUAUAUUUAAGUAUAAACCUACAACAUCGAUACCCCAAAAAGGUUACACAUGUUACGACAGAAUGGGAAAUGUGUAGCAGCGUUCAAUACUGUUCUUUCACUCUAUAGUGUGUAACAUGUGUGACAUGGCGUUUGUCAGCAAAACAUAUAACUUGUAAGGUGAUACGGUUGUAUCUUUAAAAUAUGUUUACCUAUAAGUACUUACAUGUUACAUGUUGUA